GACGAACGCUGGCGGCGUGCUUUCCUUUGCAAGUCGAACGAUGAAGUUCCUUCGGGAAUGGAUUAGUGGCGAACGGGUGAGGAACACGUGAGAAACCUGCCUUUCAUUCUGGAAUAACACCGGGAAACCGGUGCUAAUACCGGAUACUCCGUCUUGGCGGCAUCGCCGAGCCGGGAAAAAAUUUUGAUGAAAGAUGGUCUCGCGGCCUAUCAGCUAUUUGGUGAGGUAAUGGCUCACCAAGGCGACGACGGGUAGCCGGCCUGAGAGGGCGACCGGCCACACUGGGACUGAGACACGGCCCAGACUCCUACGGGAGGCAGCAGUAGGGAAUAUUGGUCAUUGGGCGCAAGCCUGACCCAGCGACGCCGCGUGAGGGAUGAAGGUCUUCGGAUUGUAAACCUCUUUCAGUAGGGAAGAAGCGAAAGUGACGGUACCUAAAGAAGAAGCACCGGCUAACUAUGUG
rnacentral:rRNA from 1 species